rnacentral:other from 1 species
GCGAGACUGCCCGGUGCGUGAAGGAACCUUUAUUCCCUGGGGCCUAUAAACGAUACCAUUGGGAGCUGUCCCUGCGCCGGGUCGUGGCCUGGCAUAAACGGCGCCCACCUACGCGAGUAGGGACCCGGGAUCGUACGUUCCCACGGCCCAUGGUGGUCUCGCC